UACAGAGGGUGCGAGCGUUGUCCGGAAUCACUGGGCGUAAAGGGCGCGUAGGCGGCUUUUCAAGCGUGCGGUGAAAGCUCGGGGCUUAACUCCGAGUCUGCCGUGCGAACUGGGAGGCUUGAGUCUGGUAGAGGUCGAUGGAAUUCCGGGUGUAGCGGUGGAAUGCGUAGAUAUCGUAAGGAAGACCAGUGGCGAAGGCGAAUCUCUGGACAGUUACUGACACUGAGGCACGAAGGCCAGGGGAGCAAACGGG
rnacentral:rRNA from 1 species